rnacentral:misc_RNA from 1 species
CCUUGUUACGACUCACCCCAGUCAUGAAUUUACCGCGGGUAAUGUUCUCCCAGCUUUGCCAGCGGCUAACCUCAUUUGGCAAAACCCAAUUCUCGGUGUGAGGCGGGCGGUGUGUACACACGCAUUCACCGCGACACGCUGUCCGGCGAUUACCAGAUUCCACUCUCUCACGCAGCCGAGUUUCGUAGAUCGAUCCGGACGAUCAAGUCAUCGGGGGUUGGCGACUCCUCCGCCGACGUGAGCCCUAUAUUUAUAAAAUUUGACGUCAUCCCUAAUUCUCUCCGAGCCCACACCGGCGUCUCUUAUUAUGCCCUUCGUAGCACUCCACGACAAGGGUUGCUUGUUGUGGAUUCUAACCUAACAUCCAGACACGAAGCUGAUGAUUAGCUAUGUAGUUACCUGUGGUCCCGGUGCCUCCUGCGGAAGCACUCCCAAACUCUGGGAUCAGCGGGGGGGGGGUAGGGUAUUUCAAGGUUAGGUCGAAUUAAUCCACAUCAUCCAACGCUUGCGCGGGUCUCUCACGUUUCCUUGAGUUUUGGUCUUAUAUCGUAUUUACCACGUUAGCUGCGCUACCACAAGGCUCGAAGGCCCUAACAGCUAGAGUGUAACAGAGGGAGGUGGAAUUCCGCGUGUAGCAGUGAAAUGCGUAGAUAUGCGGAGGAACACCGGAUGGCGAAGGCAGCCUCCUGGGAUAACACUGACGCCUAUGCACGAUGCGGGAUAAACAGGAUUAGAUACCCCGGUAGUCCACGCCUCAAACGAUGUCAACUAGCUGUUGGGGCCUUCGCCUUGGUAGCGCAGCUAACGCGUGAAGUUGACCGCCUGGGGAGUACGGUCGCAAGAUUAAAACUCAAAGGAAUUGAUGGGACCCACAAGCGGUGGAUGAUGUGGAUUAAUUUGAUGUAACGCGAAAACCUUACUCACUCCUUGAUAUGUCUGGAAUCCCGAAGAGAUUUGGGAGUGUCGCAAGAGAACCGGAACACAGGUGCUGCAUGGCUAAGCCAAGCCAGCUCGUGUCGAGAUGCUGGGUUAAGUCCCGCAACGAGCGCAACCCUUGUCAUUAGUUGCUACGAAGGGCACUCUAAUGAGACUGCCGGUGACAAACCGGAGUAGUUGUGAUGACGUCAAGUCCUCAUGGCCCUUUAUGGGUAGGGCUUCUACACGUCAUACAAUGGUCGGGACAGAGGGUCGCUUAACCCGCGAGGGGGAGCCAAUCCCAGAAACCUGAUCGUAGUCCGGAUCGCAGUCUGCAACUCGACUGCGUGAAGUCGGAAUCGCUAGUGACCGCGACUGUGCAUGCUAUGUCGCGUGAAUACGUUCCCGGUCUUGUACACACCGCCCGUCACACCAUGGGAGUGGGUUUUACCAGAAGUAGCGCUCAAUCCGGGCGAGGGCGAUUACCACGGUAGGAUCUUAUGACUGGGGUGAAGUCGUAACAAGGCAGC